CACGUGGCGGCGGCGGCGGCGUCCUGGAGGGCCCGGCGGUGGCGGCUCCUCAACCAAAGAAAUGAGGCGACGUUGCGGAGGACAGGCGGUCGGCCCGGUGGAGGUCCUGGAGGAGACGGUCCCGGCGGUGGAGGACGGCUGGGGGAUCCGGCGGUGGAGGUCCGAAGGCGUCUCGUGAUUAGACCAACCAGCUCCUCAUCCAUGGAAGGAUGAAGGAGUCACUGGGGAUGAAGAUCACUGCUCGGGGGCUGACGACCCCCCCCCCCCCCCCCCCCCCCCCCCCUCAUCUUUCUGGAGAAGCGUCCUCAUGGUCAAACCUCCACCUCUUUGAAGAGACCAAGCAGCUUGAUGACUGACUGGUUCUUUAUACUCAAGACCUCGUCCCGGAGCAGAGGACGGACCCAAGGCCCGCAGCGCAGCAGACUAGAGACUCCAUGUGGAACCGGCGACUUAAAGGGAGACCAGAUGUGCGGCGGCUGGGUGUCAUGGUGCAGAGACCCAACGCUGCACUGAACUACACCAGUGUGUCCUACUCCCCAUAAACCCUGAGGAUCCCUGGCUACACCAGCACAUUAAUCCACACCCAACAUUAACACGCAGUGCACACUCUAUAGAGCUUGUAAGUCCGCCCCGGGUCUGCGGCGGGACCUCGUGAGAUCGUAAGAUAUGACUGGGUUUCAAUGGAGAGGAAGUAAUUAUUAUCUCCAUUAUGUUGCACCACAUUUUGGGGGAAGAAUGUUUGAAUCAAUCUUUGUCAUUUAUUUCUGUACUCCAUAUCUGUAAUCCCAGCUGUUGUAUUUUAACACGGUAGCUGGGAACCCUCUUUAUAGGGAGCAGCUAGAGGGACGAGGCUGGAAGCAACCCUGAGCCUGGAUCUUAACCUUCUUUCUAAACCUAAUGCCGCAAUUUAACCGCAAAUAAAGUGAGGCCUAAAGUAACUUGACUCGCUUGCCUAAACUCGCUUGCCUAAACUCGCUUGCAUAAAACCUAAACUCGCUUGCAUAAAACCUGAACUUGCUUGGCUAAACUCGCGUCGCUUGCCUAAUACCUGAACUUGCUUGCCUAUACUCGCUUGCCUAAUACCUGAACUCGCUUGCCUAAACUCGCUUGCUUAAUUCCUGAACUCGCUUGCCUGAACUCGCUUGCCUAAUACCUGAACUCGCUUGCCUAAUACCUGAACUCGCUUGCCUAAACUCACUUGCAUAAAGCCUAAACUCGCUUAGCUUGACUCGCUUGCCUGUUCUCGCUUGGCUAAACUCGCUUGCAUAAAACCUAAACUCGCUGGCAUAAAACCUAAACUCGCUUAGCUUAACUCGCUUGCCUGAACUCACUUGCAUAAAACCUAAACUCGCUUAGCUUGACUCGCUUGCCUGUACUCGCUUGGCUAAACUCGCUUGCAUAAAACCUAAACUCGCUUGCAUAAAACCUUAGCUUGACUCGCUUGCCUGAACUCGCUUGCCUAAUACCUGAAGUCGCUUACCUAAUACCUGAAGUCGCUUGCCUAAAACCUAAACUUGCUUGUCCAAACACGUUACACAAAGUUAACCAUCCAUAAUCUUUAACCCAAACCACACUUGUCCCUGGGUCGCUCCACUUUAAUUUAGAAGUUUCUUCUUUUACCUCAUCUGCGUUUUGAGUUUCAUUCUUUGAGGGCUUGAAGUGCUUUGGAGGAUAUUUGAACCUUUGUUGGCCGCAUCAAUAAACAUGCUUUAUCUUCA